CCUACGGGUGGCAGCAGUGGGGAAUCUUCCGCAAUGGGCGAAACCUGACGGAGCCACGCCGGGUGACCGACUGAAGGCCUUCGGGUUGUAAAGCUCUGUUGACAGGGACGAAUAAGCAAUGCAGAUAGUUUUGUGUAUGACGGUACAUGUUUAGAAAGCUCCGGUUAACUCCGUGCCAGCAGCCGCGGUAUUAAGGAGGGAGCAAGCGUUGUCCGGAAUUACUGGGCGUAAAGGGCGCGUAGGUGGGCGCUUAAGUCAGGUGUGAAAACUCCGGGCUCAACCGGGAGACUGCACUUGAAACUGGGUGUCUUGAGGGCAGGAGGGGAAAGUGGAAUUCCUAGUGUAGCGGUGAAAUGCGUAGAUAUUAGGAGGAACACCAGUGGCGAAGGCGACUUUCUGGAGUGUACCUGACGCUGAGGCGCGAAAGCGUGGGUAGCGAACGGGAUUAGAUACCCUAGUAGUC
rnacentral:rRNA from 1 species